ACCUGGCGGAUGUGGACCACGCCUUUGGUGGAGGAGAAGACGGGUAGUUGUGAACGGGGGGAAAUUCUUAGCUAGUCCGGGACUACAAGGUUAGCUUGUUGACCUUGUAGUCCUAGCCAAUAAAUUGACGCCAUGGUAGAAAACAUAGAUUACAUCAUCCCAACUACCAUAUCAGCACAAUAACCAUUGAUAAUCCUAACGUCUGUUAACCUAUAAAACGGUGAAAGCAAAUUCAAAAAAAUUCAAAAUUUUGGGGAUGUGAAUGGCAUGUCAGAUUUGGGUUUAAAUGUUUAAUAUGCCACAAAUUUCUCUCUUCAUUUCGUCCACUCUCUCUCUGUCUCUCUCUCUCCAUUUUCUCUUCUAUUCUGCUUUACCUCCACCAAAUUUGAAAAUCUCUAUUACUUCUAACACACCUUUCUGUGAGGCAAACAUGGCCAAAUCUCCAUGGUAACAACAGCCACCGUGUCCCACACCACCACCACCACCAACGGUGCUUGCUUGCCCAUUUGACCCUCUCCCAUCUUAAGAUUCUCUGUCGCCCAAAUGUGGCUGAUUUAUUGUUUUAUUUUAUUUUAAUGUUGUUUUUUAAAUGCACAGAUGAUGUUUGUGAAAAUAUCUGUUAGAAACUUUGAAGUGAUUUUUCUUUAGAGGCAAUUAGCAUUGAUGCCCAAAUCAGAGCAGUUGAAGUUGCCCCAUGAAUGAAGGUUGAGGACUUGAGGCUAAGCCGAAGCAUCAGUGGGAGAAAAAGUAAAGCUGUUAGGGUUGAAGUCUAAAUUAGAACAUUUAGAUUUAUUUAUCUAAGCUAAGAUGAUGAUGAGGUUAAUGUGAAUGUAAAUGUGAGGAUAGGGGGAUUUUUUCCCCUCCUUAAGUUGAA